CAGCCGCCGCGGGUAUACGUAGGUGGCAAGCGUUGUCCGGAAUUAUUGGGCGUAAAGGGCUCGCAGGCGGUUUCUUAAGUCUGAUGUGAAAGCCCCCGGCUCAACCGGGGAGGGUCAUUGGAAACUGGGAAACUUGAGUGCAGAAGAGGAGAGUGGAAUUCCACGUGUAGCGGUGAAAUGCGUAGAGAUGUGGAGGAACACCAGUGGCGAAGGCGACUCUCUGGUCUGUAACUGACGCUGAGGAGCGAAAGCGUGGGGAGCGAACAGGAUUAGAUACCCCCGUAGUCCCUGUCUCUUAUAC
rnacentral:rRNA from 1 species